rnacentral:lncRNA from 1 species
AAUCAUCCAUAGUUGAUGUAUACUGAUUAAUUUUCAUUUUCAGCUGAUUGCUCUGUGGCCAGUUGGGUGCAAGUGCUAUAAGGGAAUAAUCUGAACUCCCAAAUAAGGCAUAUAUUUUUCAGUAUAUGCCCACCAGGACUUGGUUGACUGCAUAUUUGAGUGUAUGAUUCAGAGUUCUAUCACAUCAAAUCACUCUCUUUAAUUAAAUCUUAGAAAAAACAGGAAAAAAGGAGAAAGCUCACGAGAAGAUAGCUGUCCCUGAAAUUAAAAAAGCAGAUAAAAAAGAAGCUGCUGUAUCCAAAGAACUCAAAAAGCCAGCAAAAGCUCCUGCAGCCAACCCAGCCACCAAAAAAGCAGCAGCACCAGAAC